rnacentral:rRNA from 1 species
UUGGGAGCUCUCCCAUAUGGUCGACCUGCAGGCGGCCGCGAAUUCACUAGUGAUUAGAGUUUGAUCGGGGCUCAGAUUGAACGCUAGCGGAAUGCUUUACACAUGCAAGUCGGGCGGCAGCACGGGGCACCGGGCGCGAUCGGCGAACGGUGAGUAGCAUGAACAUGUCCAUUCGUGGGGGAUAGCCCGGCGAAAGCCGGAUUAAUACCGCAUACGCCCGAGAGGGGAAAGUGGGGGACCGCAAGGCCUCACGCGAUUGGGUCGGCCGAUGCCCGAUUAGCUAGUUGGCGGGGUAAGAGCCCACCAAGGCGAUGAUCGGUAGCUGGUCUGAGAGGAUGAUCAGCCACACUGGGACUGAGACACGGCCUAGACUCCUACGGGAGGCAGCAGUGGGGAAUUUUGGACAAUGGGGGCAACCCUGAUCCAGCCAUUCCGCGUUAGUGAACACCUUCGGGUUGUAAAGCUCUUUGUCCGGAGCGAUGGGAGGACGUGAAUAGCGUCGUCCU